rnacentral:rRNA from 1 species
CAAUAGCGUAUAUUAUUGAUGUUGCAGUUGAAACGUUCGUAGUCGAACUUUAUCUGCUCAAACAUCAUGGCAUUGAUGAUGACAUGAUGUUCUCAGCAGAGAUUGUGCAACAGUUCACAUGUGUUUCACAUGUUUGCUUUUGUACUUUACUUUGAGUGAAUCGGCGUGUUCCACGCAGGCAUGUGCCUUAAACGAUUUACCAUAGCAUAAUCAGAGUAUGAGACUGCUUCCUUGUUUGUUCGGAAGCUUUUUCGAUACUGAUAGGAACGGUUGAGGGCAUUCGUAUUCGACUGCUAGAGGUGAAAUUCUUUGAUUAGUCGAGGACGAAUUAUUGCGAAAGCAUCUGCCAAGGACGUUUCCUUUGA